GCAUGUCUUAAGAUAGAGUGUGGUCACUGAGCGGAGGUCAAACUAACAUCACAAACUGUAGUUCAAAGUGUAUUCAUAUUGUAGAGGAGAGGACUUAUGAUAGAUAGGUGGAGAUCAUAUCAUUUCUAAAAUACAUCUAGAGCAUUUGUCAUCCAUUUAGUUCAAGGAAUAGUCAACUUUGGUACUUGUGGUUGGGCGUUCACACCAAGCAAUGUGUGACAUAAAGAAGUGUUCUCUCCCUGACACGCCAUGUGGUCUAAGAACAGUAAGCCUGUCCACACCACCAUCCUGAACCCCCACAUCCACCUGGUCGGGGAGGAAGCUGCUUGCAUCGCGUACAUCCGUAUCACACAGUAUAUCAACACCAACAGCAUGCUGCGCACCGCCCAGUCUGAGGAGACACACAUCUGGCAUCGCCGUGACGGCAAGUGGCAAAUAGUCCACUUCCACCGCUCUGGAUCACCCUCCGCCAUCACCAAGUAAGCCAGUCUGCUGAACUCCAGAGCAGGAGGGUUUGAGUGAGACGUCUCUCUGAGUGACACCGGUGGGUGACCAUCCGGCUGCGUGGGGACAUAGAGGGAUGCCCACCGUCCUGCCUGAGGAACCUUGAGCCCUCCUGCCCGCCACAUCUCAUCUCUUUACUUGAAAUCAGUUUAUGCCUUCUCUCAACUCCUUCACAAGCAAAUCGCAUUAACGUCCACUUUUUUUAUUCAGUUAGACUUACAGUAUACCUUACAGCUGCACACAGCAGUACAGUUUAUUCUCUGAACCCGGACAUGAAAGCUAUGAUUUAAACAUUAAAGAUUUACCAUGUAUCCUUGAAGGGGAAUUAUAAUGCCAAUAUAUCUAUGUGUUUGUUAACUUGAAACACAUUGGAUCAUGAGAUGUGGGAAAGCAUUCACUAAGCGUGAAAUGUUCUUUUUGAUAAUGAAUAUCUUAUGGUGUAUUCCAGAUUGAUAAUCCACUACCACAUGAUCAUGGCGCCUCAAGAGCACAUUUAACGUAGACAACAGAGGAAACCAUACUUUGCCCUCACAGGUUUAAAUGAUUAAAUGGCUGACCGUUGGUCUGAAUAGCCACUUACCUUAUGUGUUGAUAUGACUAGGGCAGCAAACUGCCAUUUCUCUACUUCAAUGCAAUACACAUCCCUCAACACUCCUCCCUCAACACUGCUCCCUCAACAAUUCUCCCUCAACACUUCUCCCUCAACACUUCUCCCUCAACACUUCUCCCUCAACACUUCUCCCUCAACAAUUCUCCCUCAACACUUCUCCGUCAACACUUCUCCCUCAACAAUGUUCCUUCAACAAUGCAGUACAUAAAUCAUUUAAUAAUAACAAGAGUCCAGUCAGAAAUAUCAAGUAAUCAAAGUAAUACUAACAUAAAUAUGUACAUAAUAGAACAUAAUACUGGUUGUGGGAGGAGCAUCAAAGCACUUCUUUACGUUCUUCCAAUCAGGACUGUGGGUAUUUACCAUAUAUCUUCCCCACUGUUUUGUGUUAUCAAUACAAACCCCCUCUUGCUUGUUAGAGCAGUUUAACUUCCUUUCAACAGACAGUGUAAACUACAGUAUUCUGCCUACUUCAGAGUAAGAAGCUAUUUAUAACAGACCACUAACACUGCCCCAGGAUGUUCUGCAAUAAGUUAGAUUGGUGUUUUUACACUAAAUGGUGUGUUCUUCUGAUAAAGAUUUGUUGUGGAUUUAAAAAAUGACAAUGAAUUUGAGUGACUUUGUUUUAUUGAUGCGUCCCAUUCCCUCU